UACGUAGGUGACCAGCGUUGUCCGGAUUACUGGGCGUAAAGAGCGCGCAGGCGGUCGUUCAAGUCGCGUGUGAAAGCCCCCGGCUCAACUGGGGAGGGUCACGCGAUACUGAUCGACUCGAAGGCAGGAGAGGGUAGUGGAAUUCCCGGUGUAGUGGUGAAAUGCGUAGAUAUCGGGAGGAACGCCGGUGGCGAAAGCGGCGGGCUGGACCUCUUCUGACGCUGAGGCGCGAAAGCCAGGGGAGCAAACGGG
rnacentral:rRNA from 1 species